rnacentral:other from 1 species
AUUUGCCUGCUGUGUCCGUGAUGUCGGCUAUGCCUACAAUUGAGCCAACGCCAACAUUGAAGGGGUGUCAAUAUCUACCUGUGGAAUGCACUCGCCCUCAGGGGUUUUAGAGUACAGGAAGCAGGUGUGAGACAACCCACCUGAGAAAUCAGGUUCAAUAAGGUCCCGGCACACGGCACAUGCGGGCACUUU